rnacentral:misc_RNA from 1 species
GGUAACACGCAUCGGCUUCUUCGCCACAACCUUUCUCUUUCUAGCAGGCUUCUCCGGCUGCGGCACAGUCUCUUCGGAUUCAGCUGUUGGCGACGAUUUCACACCGCAAUUGCCUGCGUUGGUCGGGGAUGGGGGACGGAAGGGCGUGUACCCACCCUCGGCUCCAUUAGUAAAUCCCAGAGGGUAACAGCCCCAAGAGCAAUAAUACAUCUCGGUGCCGGGCACAAUUGGCGGCGGAGCCGCCAGUGCUACAGC